CAGACAGUCGGGUACCUUCGUCAUGAAGAGGCGAAAGCCCUCUGGGGCGCAGUAACUUUACAAAAAAAAUAGAAAAGAAGAGGAGGAGAAACGUGAACGAGACCGAGAUGCACUUCUGAAGUAUUUGUUCCCCACCUCUGCAAAUCCUGGGCCUACUAAUGCAACUGCAGCCACCUCAUCCACCUCAGCACCAAGUGAUGCAGCCUCAAGUGCAUCUCCCUCCCACAAUACAGACUGCCAGUGGAGAAAUAAGAUCACAUUCUCCGAUCCCCUCUACCUCAGCGCAGCCUGCCAGUGGAGAAACAGUGUGUUCUCUGGUGCAGCAGGCUGUACCAGGAUCACACCUGAUGGAAGGCGUGUGGGAGUUGCUGGACGAUGUUGGUCAGGGUGGAUGCUGUUGGUGUCAUCCUCUCUCGAAGCAGCAGUAGCAGGCAGCUCCUCGCUCACAGAAGCCAUUAUUGCUUUUCUUGACUUCCUGUCAAUGCCAGUGUUCGAACUAAACACACACACACAAGCUGCAGUGUGUUCUCUGGUGCAGCAGGCUGUACCAGGAUCACACCUGAUGGAAGACAUGUGGGAGAUGAUGGACGAUGUUGGUCAGGGUGGAUGCUGUUGGUGUCAUCCUCUCCUAGAGCAGCAAUAGGAAGCAGUGCCUCGCUUACAGAAGCCAGUGCUAUAUUUCUUGUCCUCCUGUCAAUGUAUAUUUUAUGAUCAGAGGAGAUAAUCUCACCUGAUCUCCAGAUCACGGUGCAUCUUCUGGACGCCCUUGACAUCUUUAGGACGAGCCAUGAUUGGACCGGUUGGAAGCUGUGUCGAAGCUGGGCUGAGGCCUCCAUUUGUGCUUUUCUGUGUCUUUUUCAUGGUCAUCUUGAUCCUGCUCUUGCUGGAUUGGAAAGAGGACACAGGACAAUUAGCAGUUGUGCAACAAUCACGAAUCCAGUUGUUAAAGAAGCAUCUCAUGUUAGGACGAAACACACACACACACACACACACACACACACACACACACACACACACACACACACACACACUUACUUGGAGCUGUUGUGAUCCUUGUCAAUGAAUGGGUGAGUGAGGACUUUCCUGGGAGUGAUCCUCUCAUUCUGAUCCAGUUCUAACAUGGCCUCCAGAAGAUCAAUGCACUGUCCUCGCUCAACUGCCUCUGCUUUGUUUUUAGACUCCAGACGAAGCUAGUUUAGGAAGCAAUGGUCAAAUACUAUUAGUCAAGUCCUUGUUAUUGAUGAAAAGACACUUAAAGAAAGCGACGGUACACUUACGUGUUUCAGAUUAUCCAGAGAGGAAUAACAGCUGAGAGUGCGGGGUCUGUGAGGGCAUCGUCCCCAGAACUCCUGAUGUGUCUACAAGAAGGUUCAAUGCAUUGUAUGAAUGUUCCUCUUAAAGGGUAACUUCAGCAUUUUUCAACCUGGACCCUAUCUUCCCAGGUUUUUGUGUCUAAAUGACACAUGGGAACAACCAUUUUUGAAACUGGUCCAGUAUUGUGCAAGACUGCUGCAGACGGCAGCCAUAAAGCAGGCUACAAUAUAACCAUGCAGGGCGUAUUAACACUGUCAAUUUCCAUCCACUAAAGGUGCUCAUUUUUCUAGGUGGCUGACAAUAUGGAAAGAAUCCCGACAACUUCUAAUAACAAUCUAAGUCUGUAAACUGACGUUGCCCAAAUGCCCUGAGUGGUAACAUUGCCGCCUGUUUGGCCACUACCGGCUGCAGCCCUCUUGCUUAAAACUGGACCAGUUUCAAAAAUUCCCAUUAACACUUCAACACAAUAACAUAUGAUUAAGUGUUAAAUGUUGGGAGGUGUAUAUUCCUAUCUUAAUUAGAGAUGAAGAACUUUAUUGUGGUACCUUGAGCCUCCAGGUGUUGGACUCAGUCCUGGUGAAAUACCGCUUUGUCUUUUGUCCAUUAUUAAGAAGAUGGUCUGGCGGCUGACCCAGGAAUUUAACAAUGGCAUUAAUCUGGUAAAAAAAAAACAGCAUCACAUCAAGACAUGCAACAGGAACACUUCUUUUCUUUUCUCAUGUAGAUUGUACUGCUAAUGAGAAGCAGUACUUGAUAUAUGGACAAUGGAGCUGUAGUGAAUGACUUACUGCAUCAUACUCAUAUGCUAACGGGAUCAGUUCAUCACCGAUGACCAUGAUAGCCAAUGUGUAGCCCAGCGACCACAUGUCAAUGCCCUCAGAAAAUGGAAGGCCUAAAAUAAUUUCUGGAGAUCUGUAAGUGGAAGAAGAACAUCACACAGAAUAAUGAACAGUUGAAAAAAUACAAACUUAGCAUAUGGAGGAAACUUCUUCAGGGCAGGUGGGGGCUUAAUAUCUAGAACAUGUGCAUUUGGUAAUUAAAAUAUUAUCCAAUGCAAAUAUCAAAAUAUAUUUCUAUAUAUCUUACCUGUUUAUGGUCAGCACAGUCAUGCCCUGUUUGGCUUUAGAGCUCAGCAAGGCCACGCCAAAGUCUAUCAGCUUGACACUGAAGGGUCGUUUCCGGUGAUUCACCAUCAUGAUAUUGUCUGCUUUUAUAUCAUUAUGGAUCACUCCAUUCCUCUUCAGGGCCUCCAGUGCUGUGGCCAGCUGCAAGUACAAGGUCAGAGAAUGUAACUGCUGCAUACUUGCUCAGUGGUUGUGGGUCAAGUGCUUGAGUCAAGUAUCCAAAGUGUGUAUACUAAAAGAACGUUGUCUCUGGCUCGUAGCAUUAUAUCCGACAUCUCUUACAUGUUAUUUUAAGUAUAUCAGCUUUCACCACCACACAGAAGAUUUAGACUCCCACAGGCUCAAUUAAACAGGUUGAGGAACUCAUUUGCUCCUCAAUCUAUCAACCUAUUAAAUCAGAGUAUGGCUUCCAAGUAUCCUGGGUCAGACACUGAAUGUAAUGGGAAUGAUUUAAUCGUUGCACUGCAUCUACUUUUUGUAAUGUCUGGUGCGAUUUGUACCGUUUGUUGUAUGAAUUUGUUUAGUUAAAUGUUUUGUAUCUAUGUGUAACAGAUUUUUUUCUGACA